GACAGAGGGGGCAAGCGUUGCUCGGAAUUACUGGGCGUAAAGGGCGCGUAGGCGGAAUGGCAAGUCGGUCGUGAAAUCCUUCGGCUCAACCGAAGAACGUCGAUCGAAACUGCCGUUCUUGAGGAUUGCAGAGGAGACUGGAAUUCCCGGUGUAGCGGUGAAAUGCGUAGAGAUCGGGAGGAACAUCUGUGGCGAAGGCGACUACCUGGACCAGCACUGACACUGAGGCACGAAAGCGUGGGGAGCAAACAGG
rnacentral:rRNA from 1 species